GUGAUGACCCCGACCAAAAACGAGGGGUGAAGACGCGGCAGCUGUCUGA
rnacentral:snoRNA from 2 species